UACGUAGGGGCUAGCGUUAUCCGGAUUUACUGGGCGUAAAGGGUGCGUAGGUGGUUUCUUAAGUCAGAGGUGAAAGGCUACGGCUCAACCGUAGUAAGCCUUUGAAACUGGGAAACUUGAGUGCAGGAGAGGAGAGUGGAAUUCCUAGUGUAGCGGUGAAAUGCGUAGAUAUUAGGAGGAACACCAGUUGCGAAGGCGGCUCUCUGGACUGUAACUGACACUGAGGCACGAAAGCGUGGGGAGCAAACAGGAUUAGAUACCCCUGUAGUCCCUGAG
rnacentral:rRNA from 1 species